AGGGUGCACGAUCUCGACGAAUUACUUCUUUUCCGCAAUGGGCGAAAGCCUGACGGAGCAAUGCCGCGUGGAGGUGGAAGGCCUACGGGUCGUCAACUUCUUUUCUCGGAGAAGAAACAAUGACGGUAUCUGAGGAAUAAGCAUCGGCUAACUCUGUGCCAGCAGCCGCGGUAAGACAGAAUGGGUGGCUU
rnacentral:ncRNA from 1 species